GACGAACGCUGGCGGCGUGCUUAACACAUGCAAGUCGAACGGAAAGGCCCUGCUUUUGUGGGGUGCUCGAGUGGCGAACGGGUGAGUAACACGUGAGUAACCUGCCCUUGACUUUGGGAUAACUUCAGGAAACUGGGGCUAAUACCGGAUAGGAGCUCCUGCUGCAUGGUGGGGGUUGGAAAGUUUCGGCGGUUGGGGAUGGACUCGCGGCUCAUCAGCUUGUUGGUGGGGUAGUGGCUUACCAAGGCUUUGACGGGUAGCCGGCCUGAGAGGGUGACCGGCCACAUUGGGACUGAGGUACGGCCCAGACUCCUACGGGAGGCAGCAGUGGGGAAUAUUGCACAAUGGGCGGAAGCCUGAUGCAGCAACGCCGCGUGCGGGAUGACGGCCUUCGGGUUGUAAACCGCUUUCGCCUGUGACGAAGCGUGAGUGACGGUAAUGGGUAAAGAAGCACCGGCUAACUACGUG
rnacentral:rRNA from 1 species